GCCAGUUUGGCUCAGUGGAUAGAGCAUUGGCCUGUGGACCAAAGGUUCCCAGGUUAGAUUCCUGGAUUUGAUU
rnacentral:tRNA from 1 species